rnacentral:rRNA from 1 species
AUGCCCUACGAUGAGCGGUACACACCCUACAUCCAGCAGGCAAGACUCCUCCCGUGGAUUCAGUUGGUCAGCCGGUCCACGCCGAACCUCAGCGCUCCACUAGUGUCCUCUCUUGCUGAUCGGUGGAGGCCGGAGAUGCACAGUUUCCAUCUUCGGACUGGGGAUAUGAUCGUGACGCUCGAGGAUGUCGCCUUGAUCACCGGGCUUCCUAUCGACGGGAGGCCUCUAUGUAUGAGCACCAAUUCUAAUGGGUGGCGCGAGAAGAUUAUUGCUCUUAUCGGUAUGGCUCUGAAAGUGCAACUAUCCCUAGAUGGUUUUGGUAAUUCCUAA